rnacentral:lncRNA from 8 species
UGUCUCUCUCUCAAUUCAAUUCAAAGGGCUUUGUUGGCAUGGGAAACAUAUAUGUACAUUGCCAAAGCAAGUGAAAGAAGAUGAUGAUGAUGAUGAUAAUAAAAAUAAUAAUCUCUCCUCGCUCUCUCUCUCUCUCUCUCUCUCUCUCUCUCUCUCUCUCUCCUCGAUCUCUCUCCUCGCAUUCUCUCUCCUGUCGCUACCAGACCUGGUCCCAUGUCUGCCUCUUCUGAACACUCCAUCAGAGCAUCAGUCCUUUCCUCCUGACGGAUGGACAGAUCUGGAAACAGACUGGGAGGAGGAGAGAGAGGUGGAAGAAGGGGAGGAACAAAUAGAGAGGAGGCAGGAAAAGAUGAAGAGAGAGGAGCAAAUGAAGGAGGAGGAGGAAGAAGAGGAGGAGGAAGAGGAAGAUGAAGAGGAGGAGGAAGAGGAGUGGUCCUCCCUGACAGAGACCAGAGGCGAUCAGAGAAAUUACUCACUUGAAGGGGGAGAUCUACCCUGGAAUCUGGCAACCCCAGAGCUGGCCAUGUAUCUAGCCUUGCCCAGCUGGAUACACACAGCGUUGCUAUGCAACAUCAUGGGGUUGCUGUGGACCCACACCCCAAUGCGUGUGAUGUCAUACAUGCUCCUCCCCUUCACCCUGCCACUCAGCUUCCUCCUUGGAAACGUGCAUAGGCUGGUUGUAUUAGGGUUCUGGAUGUGGCAGGAUUUACGACAGAUCACCUUCUUUAUCAUCAACACCCUGGUCUCCAGCCUCCACAGAAACCUAGAAGACAGAAACCUACAACACAGAUAGACAGACAGACCUGGACUACAGGAAAGGUGAGAGCUGGGCUGCGAUCUACACAAAACAGUCUGUUCUACACAGGACAUUUCUAUCAGAAUUUUCUUUGUGUUUCUGUUUGUCAGAACCACAUGUAUGUUUAUAUUUAGUGUGUUUUCCUGUGUGUGUGAUGUGUGAAUGUUCUCAGGGUACUUCCUCCUCUCCUCUCCUCUCCUCCUGUGGCUCCUGCUGAUGUUGCUGCUGCUGCUGAUGAUGAUGAUGAUUGUCACACCCUGAUCUGUUUCACUAGUCCUUGUUAUUGUCUCCACCCCCUCCAUGUGUCUCUUGUUUUCCCCAAUGUAUUUAUCCCUGUGUUUCCUGUCUCUCUGUGCCAGUUCGUCUUGUAUGUCCAAGUCAACCAGCAUUUUUUUCCUGUUCUCCUAUUCUCUUUUUUCUAGUCUUCCCAGUUUUGACCCUUGCCUGUUUCUGGAAUCUGUUCCUGCCUGACCAUACUGCCUGCCACUCUGUACCUCCUGGACUCUGAACUGGUUUUGAUCUUUUGCCUGUCCACAACCAUUCUCUUGCCUACUCCUUUUUGGGUUAUUAAACAUCUAAGACUCCAACCAUCUGUCUCCUGUAUCUGCAUCUGGGUCUCGCCUUGCGUUAUGAUAGAUGAUGAUGAUGAUGCGGGGGGAGUACGAGGGUCUGGGAUAGACCCCCCCCAAGGACAGGAGUUCCACCCUCUGCCUCCAGCUAUCCUCCAUCUCCUCGUCAUCCCUCUCUCCUACCUCCUCACAGGACUCCAACCAGUACACGAUCUUGCUCUGCUUGGAUCUGGAGUGAAGGGAUAUAGAGAAGGUGGUGGAGAAUGAGGGGGAUGGAGGCAGAGAAGGAGUGGAGACUAUCCCCACUGUACCUCUCUGCCCUGGGCUGAAGGAGUGGAUGAAGAAGGAGAUCUUGUUUGACCCCCCCCCCCCCCUUAUAAUAACAACCUUACUGUUGUACUUGUCCUUCAUACACUAACACUUGUCUUGCAAUGAUUUUCAUGAUAGUGGCUUUUUUUUAGGAAAGUUUAUUUCUUAUAUAUAUAUAUAUAUAUAUAUAUAUGAGAGAGAGAGAGAGAGAGAGAGAGAGAGAGAGAGAGAGAGAGAGAGAGAGAGAGAGAGAGAGAGAGAGAGAGAGAGAGAGAGAGAGAGAGAGAGAGAGAGAGAGAGAGAGAGAGAGAGAGAGAGAGAGAGAGAGAGCUCAAAAAAAAAUAAAGGGAAUACUUAAACAACACAUCCUAGAUCUGAAUGAAAUAAAUAAUCUUAUUAAAUACUUUUUUCUUUACAUAGUUGAAUGUGCUGACAACAAAAUCACACAAAAAUAAUAAAUGGAAAUCCAAUUUUAUCAACCCAUGGAGGUCUGGAUUUGGAGUCACACUCAAAAUUAAAGUGGAAAACCACACUACAGGCUGAUCCAACUUUGAUGUAAUGUCCUUUUAAAACAAGUCAAAAUGAGGCUCAGUAGUGUGUGUGGCCUCCAUGUGCCUGUAUGACCUCCCUACAACGCCUGGGCAUGCUCCUGAUGAGGUGGCGGAUGGUCUCCUGAGGGAUCGCCUCCCAGACCUGGACUAAAGCAUCCGCCAACUCCUGGACAGUCUGUGGUGCAAUGUGGCAUUGGUGGAUGGAGCGAGACAUGAUGUCCCAGAUGUGCUCAAUUGGAUUCAGGUCUGGGGAACGGGCGGGCCAGUCCAUAGCAUCAAUGCCUUCCUCUUUCAGGAACUGCUGACACACUCCAGCCACAUGAGGUCUAGCAUUGUCUUGCAUUAGGAGGAUCCCAGGGCCUUAGGAGGAUCCCAGGGCCAACCGCACCAGCAUAUGGUCUCACAAGGGGACUGAGGAUCUCAUCUCGGUACCUAAUGGCAGUCAGGCUACCUCUGGCGAGUACAUGGAGGGCUGUGCAGCCCCCCAAAGAAAUGCCACCCCACACCAUGACUGACCCACCGCCAAACCGGUCAUGCUGGAGGAUGUUGCAGGCAGCAGAACGUUCUCCACGGCGUCUCCAGACUCUGUCACGUCUGUCAUGUGCUCAGUGUGAACCUGCUUUCAUCUGUGAAGAGCACAGGGCGCCAGUGAUGAAUUUGCCAAUCUUGGUGUUCUCUGGCAAAUGCCAAACGUCCUGCACGGUGUUGGGCUGUAAGCCCAACCCCCACCUGUGGACGUCGGGCCCUCAUACCACCCUCAUGGAGUCUGUUUCUGACCGUUUGAGCAGACACAUGCACAUUUGUGGCCUGAUGGAGGUCAUUUUGCAGGGCUCUGGCAGUGCUCCUCCU